CAGAUUAAGACAUGAAAGGGGAAUGACAUGCGUCGAGGAGUAGCUAAACCUCUUGCUAGCUAUGCGCCUGCUCGACCAACUGAGCCAUGUAGAUGGCAGUUCUAAUAGAAGCAGUAACAUUACCUGUAGCAGCUGUUUAUAUGACUCUGAUAUUAAUAUAUAUAUAUAUAUAUAUAUAUAUAUACAUAUAUAUAUAUAUAAAAAUGUGUUAUAUAUAUAUGGGGGUUUAUUUAUGCAUUGUUAUGCGAUAUUACAGAUAGAGAGGAAAGUAGGGACAAAGGGCCGCGGCUCGGAUUCGAACCCACACUCAGUCAGCGAAGGACUCCACCCAGCCAACAUGCCUAGCGUUAGCUACUCUUUUCCUUAGCCGUUAGCUAGCUAAGCUAACAUCACGCCCAUAGACAGUUAAAGAAAGUUACACCACCUGCACCUGUUAAGGUAUUUCAACUUGGGAGUCUGGAGUUUCCUGUCCUGACGUCCUGUGACCGCAACUGUUGCUUCACUGCGGUGAGCUAGCUAAGGCGACUCCACUCAUCUCAGGCAACUUUGUCACCAGUCCACUGUACAGCACCGACAUCACACCUAAAACAAAUGUGAGAAACUUCUUAGAGACUGAAACAGAUAUCUUAAAUUGCUUUGCUGCUUCACAGGAUGCUGUGCAGGACUAUCAGCAACUAGAAGUGCAGUGGGAUGCCUCUCUCCAGCGUUUGGAUGAUGAGUUACAACUGGGCGCUGAAAUACUGGUGGGCAACCAUCAGUCAAAAUAUACUUCACCAGAUACAUCUCUCAUUGAUGCCAAAACAGGAGGAACAGUGACAUUAGAGAAAUAUCUUGGGAAAGAUAAAAAAAGACCCUGCGGAUUUUGGUCUGUCAGUUCUCCUGACUACUGGGCCGUCUCCACCUUAAAGAUCUGGAGAAGAAUCAGGUGAUGUCCACCUCUUUGGGCUCCGGUUUCCUCUGCAGCUGAAUCAGAUGAACAAACAUUUUGUUAACAGCCAUUUUAAGUGGACACCGUAUCGACACCGUAACAUGAUCCUUCCAAUAUUUACGAAGCCCCUGAUGCUUUUGGAUCAAUAAGUUAAUUCACACAUUUCUGUGGACAGCAAUCAAAGGGGGAUCAGCUGUCAUGUGCAGGUCCCGGGCUGGGGAUAGCCUGCUGCUGAAGGGGGGAAAUACACGGACGUGAGAACCCCUUGCAAACCCCCCAUCUGCACGUCAUGGAACAUUUACAGAACAGGGACCUCCCAUAUUUAAGGCGUGCAACAGAGCGCAUACACAACAGUGAGUCCUGCCAUGCACCGGGCUCACCAUCUUAGGUGAAUAGGCUACACCGCCAGAGAUGGACACCGCUUUUUAGUGUAGCUCGGCGGAUGAGCACGCAAAUAAUAACGGCGUUAAAACCCCAGCAUGGCCGCGGAGUGAAGCGGUGGGGAACGGAGGUUUAGCGGCCUCUGUGCUACGAGCAGAUCAUGUCAUUCCACCGACAUUCUGAUGCACGACAGGGAAUCUUGUGUUCCAGGGUGGACUGUGUGCAACACGGGUGUAGGGAUCAAUUUUGCGCCGUUAGCGUGCAUUAAAAAUGUCCCCACAAGACCGCGCGGUUAUUACAGAUGUGAGCAGCAGGGGGCGCUAACAGCACGCAGUCGCUGAGGUAAUGGAGGAGUGCAAGUCAAAUUGAAAAAGUGAUUUAUUUCAUAAAUAUGUUCUUUUUUCACAUGCAAAUGUUAAUUAUCAAAAACAUGGUGCUUGAAGACUGAAUUGAAUUUAAAAACAUUCCUUCACGAUUAUUCUCCCCCGCAUUGAUCUGUGUUGAUGACUGCAUGAAAAUCACAUACAAAUAUGUAGGCAUU